rnacentral:lncRNA from 1 species
AAAUAAUUGGUGAUCCACAAAAAGAAAAUAAAGUGAGAGACAAAUUCCUGACUCUUUUAAUGUCAUACUGGUUAAAUAUUCGGGGGGAAAAUUUUUAUUAAAAAUAUGUGUACAAAAUACUUUCUAAAACAGGCAUAAUUCAUCACAAUUAAUUACAGAGGGUUGUUCAAACAAAUGGAUCUACUUCUAUAGAUAUACAUGCAUAUACAGACAUAGAUAUAGAUAAAUAUCAACUUUCCUUUUAGCAUGAAAAGACAAGAAAUUUAAACAAUAGUGAACUAAUAAAAAUAUACCUCCGUUAAACUGCUCAGACUCAAGAAAAUUAGGGUGAAUAAUCAUACAUCACAGAUGAUGAAAGAAGUACUGUGUUCUCAUACCUUGCAUAUUACGAUUAUAAAGUGUUCCACAUUUAGGGGUUGGCAACCAAACAAUAUCUAUUAACAACUAAAAUAUAGAAAAGCAAAAUGCAGCAAUGCUGGUCCUGAGAAUCUCCCCAGAGUAAUAAACGCAGGUAUAAUUACAAGAGCAAAAUGCAGGACACCAAUACUUCUAUGAUAUGACCUGUAUUUGGUGUUGGGCUUUACAGGAGCUCUUUCUCAGACACAUAUGCAUUAUCUGUAUCUUUUCUGAGAUUCUACUAACUUUAUGGUGAAAUCAACAAUAAAAGGUUUUCAUUUUGAUAAAUUGGUUUUCAAAAGAGAAAGAUGUUACAAGACCCUUUCAACUUGUCUUGCAAGUGAAGGCUAUAUCUGAGGCUGCCAAGAAAAGUUAUUGACAAAGGCAUGGCAAAAUGUUAAUGUGGUUUUGUUGACCACUGUGUUUGCAGCACAGUGGAGAAACAGCGUGGUUUUCUGUCCUUGCUGAGUUUUAUGCAUUUUAAGGAAUCAUAUUUGUUCAUUCCACAUUGCAGAAUGUUUCUUGCAUUUUCAUUUCCUAAUGCAGACUAAAUAUCUUAUGUGGUUUGCAAUAAUUCUCUCCUUUUAAAGGUAUUUCUGGAGUAACUGCCUGGUCUGUAACAUGUUUGAUGGAUACCUAACCCUUAAAUAUUACAAAAUUUUAUGCACAAUCACUACUUGAUUUUGAUGGACAUAAAAACACGUUUUUAAGUUACAGUAGCAAGAUAUUAUCGUUGCCUGUGUUAACUCAUUACUGAUACUCGGUUUAUAAUCAUAGCCACCCUUUGUGAAAAGGUUAGCUUGUUACAUUAUGGUUAUGCUGAGGGAAGAACAGGCUAUCCUGGAUGCUUGAGGGCCUCUCGUGGUGACUGAGUGUUGGCACUAGUGUCAGUUCAUAUCUAAAUAUUCCUACAUAUGUAAUGUACUUUCAUAUUUUUUUUGACAACACUUGUCUAGGGAAUAUUUCAACUCUACUCUGUGCUUUUGGGAUUCAAUGGGAAUCCCCUUUCAGAUGGUCAACAGUGUGAGCCUUAUUGAUUGACCUUUUUGCCCUCUUCCCUGAAAUAUAUUCUCUAGGUUUAAUCUGUGGAAUUAGAUUUUAAGUCACAUUUUCUUGCGUAAAUGUAUGAAAGCAGGAAAACCGGCUGUUGCUCAUAUUAACAGCAUUUUUUUCACAUAGUGUAAGAAAAACAGUGGUCUUAUUCACCAGACCAAUCUUGUAUUCCCGCUGGUCUCACAGUUCAAGACUCCCUUCCCCAGGCUUUUUGUUCUGAGGUCUGGCCAUACAAGCAUCCUAGCUGAGUGGGUGGAAACGACAUUUACCUGGUACAGGCCUGACCUGUGAAAACACCCUCUGUGAAGCCCCAAAUAUUUUUUGCCAUACAACUGCAUGAAAUUUUCCCAAGCACCAUAGCCAGAUUUGAAGACACAGGUUAGCAAUGAGAAAUACACCAAUAGAAGGUAUGGGGGUCCCUAAAUCCAUAUUUGGAGGAAAAUCCACAAGCAGAGUCACAUGACAUUUGAAAGCCUGUGUUGAGGUGGUAUAUGCCAGCAAUGAUAAAUAUUACAUGAUGAUCAAACUGCUGAUAAAUUCAGGUUUGUCUAUUACAACAGCUAAUUUUACGUUAACUGUAACAAAAAUAUAUUGAAGAAAAGUUUGCAUGGAAAUUUUUAUUUUUAUAUUUAUUUAUUUGAUAAAUAUCAACUUUCCUUUUAGCAUGAAAAGACAAGAAAUUUAAACAAUAGUGAACUAAUAAAAAUAUACCUCCGUUAAACUGCUCAGACUCAAGAAAAUUAGGGUGAAUAAUCAUACAUCACAGAUGAUGAAAGAAGUACUGUGUUCUCAUACCUUGCAUAUUACGAUUAUAAAGUGUUCCACAUUUAGGGGUUGGCAACCAAACAAUAUCUAUUAACAACUAAAAUAUAGAAAAGCAAAAUGCAGCAAUGCUGGUCCUGAGAAUCUCCCCAGAGUAAUAAACGCAGGUAUAAUUACAAGAGCAAAAUGCAGGACACCAAUACU